AAGAUGGCUGACCAGGUAGGAAAGCGAAACGGAAAAGGAUGCAGACAAGUCAGUCAAUUUGUUGAAAUGUUGAUCCUCUAAUGCAGAAUGUUAAUUUCGAUGUUCAAUAAUUUAAAAUUGGUGCUUACUUCACAAAAUGAGUUUAUUUUUAAUCAGUGUUCUCUAACGAUAUCUACAGAUAACUAAGUGGUGCAGAACACCUGUGGAGAAGUGUGCAAAAUCUUUCAAUCAUUAUCUUCGAAACAAAUUAAGUAAUUGAAGUCAAUCUCAAACAAUAAUGAAUAAUCAUCGUCCAUCCCAUCGUUUCGUCAUUUCAAUUCAGUAGUUAGGUAUCAUACGAAAUUGCAAACACAGACAGUAUACAGAUCAGACUUGCAUUUGAAGAUGAUUCGAAGAAUAAACCUUCGUAGGUACUUAUGCUAAUUGUUCGAAGAUAAGCUUCCAAUUUUUAAUAAUAUGAAUCGUUGUUUUGCAAAUAGGAUCGGAAUUGAUCAAGCGUAGAAUUUUCCAUUUAAUUGGUGUGAUAAGAAAAUCGAAACACAUGAUAUUAAAAUUUGGCCCAAUUAAGAAAUGAGAAGAUGAAAACCACUCUGGAAUUCUGAC